GAUGAACGCUGGCGGCGUGCUUAACACAUGCAAGUCGAACGGUGACGGCGGAGCUUGCUCUGCUGGAUCAGUGGCGAACGGAUGAGUAACACGUAAGCAAUCUUCCCCUGACUCUGGGAUAAGCGCUGGAAACGGCGUCUAAUACUGCAUCCGAGCUGCGACGGCAUCUUCCGCAGCUGGUACGAAUUUCGGUCAGGGAUGAGCUCGCGGCUUCUCAGCUUUUUGGUGCGGUACUGGCUCACCAAGGCGUCGAAGGGUAGCCGGCCUGAGAGGGUGACCGGCCACACUGGGACUGAGACACGGAGCAGACGCCAACGGGAGGCAGCAGUGGGGAAUAUUGCACAAUGGGCGAAAGCCUGAGGCAGCAACGCCGCGUGAGGGACGACGGCCUUCGGGUUGUAAACCUCUUUUAGCAGGGAAGAAGCGAAAGUGACGGUACCGGCAGAAAAAGCGCCGGCUAACUACGUG
rnacentral:rRNA from 1 species